rnacentral:rRNA from 1 species
AGUGAACGCUGGCGGCGUGCCUAACACAUGCAAGUCGAACGAUGAAGCCCAGCUUGCUGGGUGGAUUAGUGGCGCACGGGUGAGUAAUGCAUAGGUUACGUGCCCCUUAGUCUGGGAUAGCCACUGGAAACGGUGAUUAAUACCGGAUAUUCCCUACGGGGGAAAGUUUUUCGCUAAGGGAUCGGCCUAUGUCGUAUCAGCUAGUUGGUGAGGUAAAGGCUCACCAAGGCAAUGACGCGUAGCUGGUUUGAGAGAAUGAUCAGCCACACUGGAACUGAGACACGGUCCAGACUCCUACGGGAGGCAGCAGUGGGGAAUAUUGCGCAAUGGGGGAAACCCUGACGCAGCAACGCCGCGUGGAGGAUGACGGUUUUCGGAUUGUAAACUCCUUUUUUCAGAGAAGAUAAUGACGGUAUCUGAAGAAUAAGCACCGGCUAACUCCG